rnacentral:rRNA from 1 species
UACAGAGGUCUCAAGCGUUGUUCGGAUUCAUUGGGCGUAAAGGGUGCGUAGGCGGCGCGGUAAGUCGGAUGUGAAAUCUCGGAGCUUAACUUCGAAACUGCAUUCGAUACUGCCGUGCUUGAGGACUGGAGAGGAGACUGGAAUUUACGGUGUAGCGGUGAAAUGCGUAGAUAUCUGGAGGAACACCGGUGGCGAAGGCGGCAUCCUGGACCGAGAUUGACGCUGAGGCGCGAAAGCCAGGGGAGCAAACGGG